AUUGAACGCUGGCGGCAUGCCUUACACAUGCAAGUCGAACGGCAGCACGGGAGCAAUCCUGGUGGCGAGUGGCGAACGGGUGAGUAAUGCAUCGGAACGUACCCGGAAGUGGGGGAUAACGUAGCGAAAGUUACGCUAAUACCGCAUAUUCUGUGAGCAGGAAAGCGGGGGAUCGCAAGACCUCGCGCUUCCGGAGCGGCCGAUGUCGGAUUAGCUAGUUGGCGGGGUAAAGGCCCACCAAGGCUACGAUCGUUAGGGGGCCUGAGAGGGUUAUCCCCCACACUGGUACUGAGACACGGACCAGACUCCUACGGGAGGCAGCAGUGAGGAAUAUUGCGCAAUGGAGGCAACUCUGACGCAGCCAUGCCGCGUGCAGGAAGAAGGCGCUACGCGUUGUAAACUGCUUUUACCCGGGAAGAAACCCCUCUACGUGUGGAGGGUUGACGGUACCGGAGGAAUAAGCACCGGCUAACUUCGUGCCAGCAGCCGCGGUAAAGUACAGUGU
rnacentral:rRNA from 1 species